AACGCUAGCUACAGGCUUAACACAUGCAAGUCGAGGGGCAGCAUGAACUUAGCUUGCUAAGUUUGAUGGCGACCGGCGCACGGGUGAGUAACGCGUAUCCAACCUUCCGUACACUCAGGAAUAGCCUUUCGAAAGAAAGAUUAAUACCUGAUGGUAUGAUGAGAUUGCAUGAAAUCAUCAUUAAAGAUUCAUCGGUGUACGAUGGGGAUGCGUUCCAUUAGAUAGUAGGCGGGGUAACGGCCCACCUAGUCGACGAUGGAUAGGGGUUCUGAGAGGAAGGUCCCCCACAUUGGAACUGAGACACGGUCCAAACUCCUACGGGAGGCAGCAGUGAGGAAUAUUGGUCAAUGGGCGCGAGCCUGAACCAGCCAAGUAGCGUGAAGGAUGAAGGUCCUACGGAUUGUAAACUUCUUUUAUAAGGGAAUAAAGUCACCUACGUGUAGGUGUUUGUAUGUACCUUAUGAAUAAGCAUCGGCUAACUCCGUGCCAGCAGCCGCGGUAAUACGGAGGAUGCGAGCGUUAUCCGGAUUUAUUGGGUUUAAAGGGAGCGUAGACGGGUCGUUAAGUCAGCUGUGAAAGUUUGAGGCUCAACCUUAAAAUUGCAGUUGAUACUGGCGUCCUUGAGUACGGUUGAGGCAGGCGGAAUUCGUGGUGUAGCGGUGAAAUGCAUAGAUAUCACGAAGAACUCCGAUUG
rnacentral:rRNA from 1 species